AAUGAACGUUGGCGGCAUGGAUUAGGCAUGCAAGUCGAGCGAGAACUUUAAGACUGAAACUUCGGUCGAUUUCUUGAAGGGAAAGCGGCGUAAGGGAGAGUAACGCGUAGUUAUCUACCCCAAGGCCCGGAAUAGCUGCGGGAAACUGCAGGUAAUGCCGGACAAUAUCCCCGGAUCAAAGGUGUGAUUCCGCCUUGGGAGGAGACUGCGUUGUACUAGCUUGUUGGUAGGGUAAUGGCCUACCAAGGCUACGAUGCAUAGCGGGCGUGAGAGCGUGUCCUCGCUCACUGGGACUGAGACACUGCCCAGACACCUACGGGUGGCUGCAGUCGAGAAUCUUCGGCAAUGGGCGCAAGCCUGACCGAGCGACGCCGCGUGCGGGAUGAAGGCCUUCGGGUUGUAAACCGCUGUCAGUGGGGAGGAAAUCCCGGGAGGUUCUCCUUUCGGGUUGACCUAUCCGCAGAGGAAGGACGGGCUAAGUUCGUGCCAGCAGCCGCCGCGGUAA
rnacentral:rRNA from 1 species